UGAGGGGUAGCACAAUAAUAAAGCACAUGCUUGGCAUGCAUGAGGCCUUGGGUUCAAUCCCCAGCACCCCAC
rnacentral:tRNA from 1 species